GACGAACGCUGGCGGCGUGCUUAACACAUGCAAGUCGAACGGAAAGGCCCUGCUUUUGUGGGGUGCUCGAGUGGCGAACGGGUGAGUAACACGUGAGUAACCUGCCCUUGACUUUGGGAUAACUUCAGGAAACUGGGGCUAAUACCGGAUAGGAGCUCCUGCUGCAUGGUGGGGGUUGGAAAGUUUCGGCGGUUGGGGAUGGACUCGCGGCUUAUCAGCUUGUUGGUGGGGUAGUGGCUUACCAAGGCUUUGACGGGUAGCCGGCCUGAGAGGGUGACCGGCCACAUUGGUACUGAGAUACGGCCCAGACUCCUACGGGAGACAGCAGUGGUGAAUAUUGCACAAUGGGCGGAAGCCUGAUACAGCAACGCCGCGUUCGGGAUGACGGCCUUCGGGUUGUAAACCGCUUUCGCCUGUGACGAAGCGUUAGUGACGGUAAUGGGUAAAGAAGCACCGGCUAACUACGUG
rnacentral:rRNA from 1 species